AAUGAAACCUUUGGUAACAUAUACUGAACAACAAAAGUUUAGCACAUUUUUGUAACAUUUAUAUACAAAAGAAUGAUAUGAGACAAAAUACUGAAAUUUG